UAAAUAAUGUAACAACAUAUAGCAACUGUCUUUAUGUAAUCAAUACAAUAUUAAACCAAAUUUCCUCUUUCAACUGUUUGUUGCCUAGGAGCAAAAACUUAGCACCAGCCUUCUACUGAUAAAGUUUGUAAGGCACUGCAGAACAAACCAAUGUUUCUGAGUUAAGCAGGAUUCAUACAUAUGGAACCACUUUACCUUCUUCAUCCAGCCCUGAAACAUUGACUCAUAGUAAUGAAAAGAAGGGACAUCAUAGCCAAAGAUACCGUGAUGCUAAGGGAACAUCUGCCAGCUACUGAUCUGGGAACAUCUGCCAGUUACCUCUAAACAUGAGACUUCAGUCCUUUACAUGCUGUUCUGUUGGAGUCGUGUCUUCUGCUAUUUUGCAAAACGGGAGGAGACGGGAGAAAUGAAAUGAGGGGAAGAAGCAGUGCUAAGCAAACACUGGACUCAUCAGAUUGCUUCACAGAAUCACGUUCUUUUUAUUGUCCAUCUGGUCCUUCCUCUCUCUUUUGACAUUCAUCAUCAUUUUACUUUUGUGUCAAGUUGCAUUUAGAUUUCAAAUUACUUGGAAUAGGGCCUUUGU